rnacentral:rRNA from 1 species
GAUGAACGCUGACAGAAUGCUUAACACAUGCAAGUCAACUGUGGCGGACGGGUGAGUCACGCGUAAAGAAAUUGCCUCACAGUUAGGGACAAAAUUUGGAAACGAAUGCUAAUACCUGAUCCUGUGAGAGAGCUUUGCGUCCCAUUAGAUAGUUGGAGAGGUACCGGCUCACACAGGCGAUGAUGGGUAGCCGGCCUGAGAGGGUGAUCGGCCAUAAGGGUACUGAGACACGGACCUUACUCCUACGGGAGGCAGCAGUGGAGAAUAUUGGACAAUGGACCAAAGUCUGAUCCGGCAAUUCUGUGUGCACGAUGAAGUUUUCGGAAUGUAAAGUGCUUUCAGUUGGGAAGCGGUACCAACAGAAGAAGUGACGGAUAAAUACGUGCCAGCAGCCGCGGUAAUUC